GUUAAUCCCAAACAAUUUGUGUUGCUGUUUUUAAGGGUCCAUUGAACGGACUGAAGCCCCACCAAGUGACGCAGCCUGCUCCUUCUGAUGGCCGCCCGGCGCUCAUUCUGUCUUGUGGGGGUUUAAACUCGAUUCCAACUCGACGGAGGGAACCCAGAAGUAAACACAUUGAUGACGACGUUACAG